AAGUCGUAACAAGGUUUCCGUAGGUGAACCUGCGGAAGGAUCAUUUCCGAAAAACACAAUAACCAUUAACCCCUACAUUGAGAGAAAUGAAGGUUGGAGGAGCAGGAAGGAGGAGGGAGAUUUAUUUCUCUUCUUCUGCUCUUCUUUGCUUUCGUUUUUUCUUUUUGUUCAUGUGUACUUGAUAUGUUUAUUCAUAUCAUUUUAGUCCAAGUGUCUCCCUUUUUUUUUUACUCUCGAAGACUUCUUUGUAAGUCGGAGAGAGGCCAUUGAAGAACCCCUUUUAUCCUUGUCAGAAUACUUAUUUUGAUGUGGAGAAAAAAACAAAUUAAAAGUUAUUUAAUCCUUUUGAAACAUAAAGAAUGAAACAAAUUUAUACGACAACUUUUAACGGUGGAUCUCUUGGCUCGU
rnacentral:misc_RNA from 1 species